rnacentral:rRNA from 1 species
AUAGCGUAUAUUAAAGUUGUUGCAGUUAAAAAGCUCGUAGUUGAAACUGGGCGCGGCUGGGCGGUCCGCCUCACGGUGUGUACUGUCUGGCUGUGUUCUCUUUCUUGGUGAGCCGGCAUGCCCUUAAUUGGGUGUGUUGGGGAACCAGGACGUUUACCUUGAGAAAAUUAGAGUGUUCAAAGCAGGCCUUUGCCCGAAUACAUUAGCAUGGCAUAAUAAAAUAGGACGUGCGGUUCUAUUUUGUUGGUUUCUAGAGUCGCCGUAAUGAUUAAUAGGGAUAGUUGGGGGCAUUAGUAUUCCGUUGCUAGAGGUGAAAUUCUUGGAUUUACGGAAGACUAACUUCUG